AGCUCCAAUAGCGUAUAUUAAAAUUGUUGCGGUUAAAACGCUCGUAGUUGGACAUCUGUUGAGUAGUUCCGGUCCUUCCCAGUGAAGAAUACGCGGACCUUUUCUUGACAUUCAUUCAGGGAAGGUGUUUGCACUUUGUUGUGUGUCACAUGAUCUGGAUUUUUACUUUGAGGAAAUGAGAGUGUUUCAAGCAGGCUAAUGUCGUGAAUAUGAUAGCAUGGAAUAAUAGCACAGGACCCCUUUCCAAAGCUGUUGGUUUUUGGAACGAGGUAAUCACAAUAAGGAUAGUUGGGGGUAUUCGUAUUUAACUGUCAGAGGUGAAAUUCUUGGAUUUUUUAAAGACGAACUAUUGCGAAGGCAUCUGCCCAGGAUGUUUUUG
rnacentral:rRNA from 1 species